ensembl:misc_RNA Metazoa_SRP Metazoan signal recognition particle RNA
GCUGGGUGUGGUAGUGUGUGCCUGUAGUCCCAGCUACUCUGGAGGCUGAGGCAGGAGGAUUGCUUGAGCCCAGGAGUUCAGGGCUGCAGUGAGCUAUGAUCAUGCCACUGCACUCCAGCCUGGGCAAGAGAGUGAGAUCCUGUCUCAU